rnacentral:piRNA from 1 species
UAAAACAUGGCACACUCUGCUGGUCCU